GAUGAUGAACGCAGCGAAAUGCGAUAAGUAGUGUGAAUUGCAGAAUUCAGUGAAUCAUCGAAUCUUUGAACGCACAUUGCGCCCCUUGGUAUCCCGAGGGGCAUGCCUGUUCGAGCGUCAUUUCACCACUCAAGCCUGGCUUGGUGUUGGGCGACGUCCUCUUUGGGGACGCGCCUCGAAACGCUCGGCGGCGUGGCACCGGCUUUAAGCGUAGCAGAAUCUUUCGCUUUGGAAGUCGGGGCCCCGUCUGCCGGAAGACCUGCUCGCAAGGUUGACCUCGGAUCAGGCAGGGAUACCCGCUGAACUUAAGCAUAUCAAUAAGCGGAGGA
rnacentral:misc_RNA from 1 species